CCGAGUUUUACAAACUCCCAAACCCCUGUGAACAUACCACUUGUUGCCUCGGCGGAUCAGCCCGCUCCCGGUAGAACGGGACGGCCCGCCAGAGGACCCCUAAACUCUGUUUCUAUAUGUAACUUUCUGAGUAAAAACCAUAAAUAAUCA
rnacentral:misc_RNA from 1 species